GUGAGCUGGUUUGUGAAAUAUUUUAAUAGCAGGACGACUUGGCAAACCUUCUGUGCUGCUCCGCUAAUGACACAGUGCCAGACUGCAAAAAUGCCGCAAAAAUGCAGUGUAAUCAAUAGAGCACUGGUGGAGCACAAGGAAUACUGAUGAACACAUGUCCAGUGAGACGGGCAAGAUAUUGAAGGAACUUGAGCUGCGAGGCUGGUGCAGACAGAGCCAGCUGGCUCUUAGUCCUCCCUUUAAAAGUCAGCUUUCAAUGGCCAUUAGAACAAAUUGAGAAGACAUGUGUAAUGGCUUUGGCAGGGCUCGAUGCAGAAAGAAGGCUGGAUGGCGUAUGAACAAUGGGAGGUUUUCUCAUCCUUCCUGAUGUGAAAUCAAAUCACAGCUGUAGGCAGCGUCAGAAAUGAAUCCAGUGACUGAACGGGAGUGGCAGGGAGACUGAAUUACAUCCUUACACCUUUAACAUAGUACCUGGCUGCGGAAUUGUAGACAAGCUGGUGGACGCUCGCAUGGUCUGCGGGGCCAGCAGGACCGGGGCAGGACGUGGCAGGCUUACUGGUAGGGUCUGAGCUGCAUUUGGAACGAAGGCUUCAGUCUGAAGUGCUGUAGCCAAGGUGAACUACAUCCAGAGUGAGAGAUCCAAGGAGACGCUGGUCUAAGGGACAGAGGAAAGGUAAUUUCAGUCUAUGCAUCUCCCUUCAGCCCUGGAUACCAGAGGCAAACCACAGAAUAAGGGCUACAAAAAGCCUCCAAGAGGCAGCAUGUAUGGUGGCAUCAUCUGGGGAAUAAUUCCUUCUGAAAAUCUGCAUGUUUAGCUUUUACACUUCAUUUAAUUGCAAAGAAGCAAAGAUAUAUUGGUGAUUCUCUGCAUAAGCAUUCAGCGUGGAGAUACAUCAUUCAGAUGGGUCUUCAGCCCUGACGCUAGGCAUAGCAGGUGAUAGCCGUGUGAGGUGUGUCUCUGAACACUGCCUUUCUCAGCUGCCUUCUCCAUGUGCUGCACUGUCCACCAUAAUUUUUCUUCAGAUACAAAUUUAUUCUCUUUUGGUCUGUUUUACAGAAAAAAAAAAAAAAAAGAAAAAGAAAAGCUCAGCUAGGCUCAGUAGUAAUGACACAACGACGCAUAGGCAGUGAAAUGAGCAAAAAUGUAUUUUAUUGCAUAGGAUUAAAAUUAAAGUUGUACUAUGCAACUCAAUGAUUAGUAUUUAUGGGUGAUUUGGAUGCACAUUGCUAUCAGGGGUGCAUGAUACUUCUAUCUAACAUUUAUGCCACAUUGUUGUUGAAGAGAUUGACCUGCUUUAAUUUAAUUUUCUAUAGUUCAUUUUCCUGGCCAUCAAUGAAUUAUUUUUAUUUUGUAUGUACUGAGUGUCAUGUUUGAGAAAUCCCGCCCAACUCAUUGUUUUGACAUGCUUCUGAAUUUCAAUGUCUGUAAUCAUGGGUCUGUUCACUCUACUUCAUGCCAUGUUUGUCUCAGAAAAGGUUAUUGAAAAGAUCUUAAAAUUAACAACUGUAAAGCUGAAACCUGUAAAGCUUCUCUUAUAUGCUAAUCUCAAACCCUUUUCUUUCUGGCAUCCAUCCAUGUAGCUGAGGGAAGUAAAUAGUGGGUCCCCAGACAGAUGGCCAUUAAGUCCAUCACGUGAAUGCCAACCAGUCUGGGAGCUAUCAACCUUUCUGAGAACUGAAGGGUAAACCAAGUAGUUAAAACAGUGUUUACUGGCCUCCUGUUUGCAUGUUUUCUUCCUAGGCUUUGCUCACAUUCUCUAUAACCUAAGACAAUCUCUGGUGAAAUAAGUUUACCAAACUUGGUACUCUGUAUUCUUAUCAGCUUUAUUUUAGAUGUUAAAUAUAAAGUAUCACAAGCUGAAUAUUAUCCUUGGCAUGCAGAUGAAGGAAACAAACUCUCUUGUUCAGACAGUGGAUCACAGAUUCAUUUAGGUUGGAAAAGACCUCUAAGUCCAGGUAUUAACCUAGCACUGUCAAGUCCACCACUAAACCAAGUCCCUGAGCACCACAUCUACACAUCUUUUGUAUACCUCCAGGGAUAGUGACUCAACAACUUCCCUGGGCAGCUUGUUCCAAUACUUCACAACCCUUUUGGUGAAGAAAUUUGUUCUAAUAUCCAAGCCAAACCUCCCCUGGUGCAACAUGAGGCCAUUUCCUCUUGUCCUAUCGCUUGUCUCUUGGGAGAAGAGCCCGAUCCCCACCUUGCUACAACCUCCUUUGAGUGAUAACGCCUCCCCUGAGCCUCCUUUUCUCCAGGCUAAACAGCCCCAGCUCCCUUACCCGCUCCCCAGAAGGUUUGUUCUCUAAAUGUAGCACAGGUAGCUGUGGUGCUAUGAUCUUAACUGAAGUUUGGGUAGGCUGGAAUUUCUGCUAAGGUGAUAUUUGUAUCAAGGAAAGCCGCAAAUCUGAGGAGCUUGUUUAUAGCUGGAGGCUAGCCUAGCUAAUUGGACCUAGCAGUUUUUGAAGCAUGAUCCAAGAUUUGGACAAAACUUAAUUUUGAUUCAUAUUAUCUGAACGCUUUAUAAAGAGUGAUAUUUUAAUUGAGCAUUGGUGAAAAAUGGUGAAACACACGGGCAGUUUUACAGAACAGCUUUCAUAUGCUGUUCUUUCUUUCAAAACAUUGCUGGUCUUUGUUUAGGAGAUGAAAACAGCACAGGUAUCAAGGGAAGAUCCUUGCCUCUCUCAACUCCAUUUGCUGUACAUACAUUUUUGACAUGCCUCCCUGGGGCUGCCACGAGCUCUAAGCUAAAUAGUUCAUCGUGUCUACACAUGCCAUUUUCUUCCUAGCUGUCCUGUCUAUCCUGGAAAUUUUGCUACAUCUGUUGCAUUUUUAAAGAUUUAAUAUUUUGUGUUAUGGUAAUAAUGAGUAUUAGUAUGGGGUAUUUCAGAGGCUUGUGCACAGGGGCAACCAGGUCUUUUUUCUGAGAACAAUAUUUAAGGUUUCAUCAAAGUUCAGCCUAUACUUUUCGGAACAUGUUGUAUUUGUCAACUGAACCUGAUCUACCGUUCUGCUAAAUUGAUGAUUUGGCCAGAGGCUGUCUACCAUAAAGUUUGGUAGUCUUACAACGUUGUUUCCUAGCUUGUAUUUCAGGUUAUCCUAACAGCUUUUUAUCUGUAGUUCCCUAGAUUCUUGCAGAUUUCUUCGAUGAGUGUUAUUUGGUCAUGGAGUUAUGUAGCACUUUAAUUUUCCAGUUUGAUCCGACCUCUGCUCUUUCAGUCUUGGUGUUUCUCUGACAGACUAUUUUUGUUACAUUUAAAGAAAAAGUAUUUCUCCAGCAUCUUCUAUAAUAAAAACUAUACGGAUAAAUACUUCAGCUUUUCAAGAGAGUCUUUAUCCUACAAAAUUACUUUCCUUAUACCCUUCUGGCUAAGCCUAUUCCUUAGCUCUCUUGCAACUUGCCUGCUUCUGAGAUAAUUAAAGUUUUUAUAUCUUUGACUGUCUGAUCUUUACAUUCUCUCUAAGCUCAUCUGUUACAUCCUACACUUAACUACCAGAGUUUAUUACUUGCACACACAUCUUUGAAAGAAAAAGAUAUCUGUGCCACAUCUCUCGUGCUGUUGGCAUGAUGACCUCUGACCUGCACAGUUCCAUUCUCUAUUGUAGAGUAUUAAGAAAAAAAUUUCCCAUACUUCUGCUCCUCUGAGUAUUUCUUAACAAUUUCUUUCUUCUACUUCUUCUUCUUCUUUUUUUUUUUUUUACAAAAUGUAUAGUUUUUUUUUUUUUUUCAGAUAGUAGUUUUAUUGGGGUUAUUAAACACUUGGAAAAGUUUCAGAAACAAAACCGGCAUCUUAUGUGUUGUACUGCUAAAACAUGAUAUUAGACUCAAAAAGAAAUCAUAGCUUUAUCCACAAAGAAAUCAGUUGCUUUUUUGUCUCCUGAUAGACAUUAUUAAGAUGUGAAAAUUCAUUACAAAAUUAGUAUAGUAUUGGAAAAAUGGCAAUACAUUAAAUAGCUAAAAUGGACAUAUUAAUUCUUUAAUUAGUCUUUUACUAAAAUAAUGUCCACAAUCGGCACAUCUCUGUAACUCUUUUAGUCCUUGGUUAAGAAAAGUAUUUUACUCCUUGAUGGAAAUUUAAAGCUGAAAGAAGACCUUUUAAGAAACUGAUGAAGAUAUACUUUUUGUAAUAUUUAUCUUUAGCAUUAUUUCUCACAAAUAGGUAAGCAAAGUCUUUUGUCAGGAUAAUGUUCUGAAGUAAAGAUUGCCAGACAUAUUUGGGUGAACAAAUAGGUUUUCAUAAAUGAAAUUAAAUCAGUGGAAUUUCAGCUUGUAUUCUCCCAUAUGCAUUUGUUCUGCUGCCUACCAAGUGCUUCUUCACAUGGGCACUCAUAUCCGAACGCUGUCCUCAGUCAUGUGAGUAGCCUCUUUUUUUGCACAAGAAAGUACAAGGGGAUGCAGUUCAGGAAAACAAAAGAACUUAACUAAUCUAAGUCAAGAAAACUGAAAAGAAAUUGUACUUUACAAUAGGCAUGCAUAUGAGAAAACAGAAUGAAAACAAAAUUGCUAUCAAAUCUCAGAAGCAUAUUAUGGGAAAGAAAGUUGUAGAAAGGAAAGAAUGUAUUGUGGAUAAUUUCGGGAACUAUUAAAUGUUUAACUGCCAGUUCAAAAGGAAAUAGCAGAGCUGUUUCAGGACGAGGUCCUUAAAUUUAUUUGUUUAUUGUUACUACCCAUCUACAAUAACAUGACAUUCAAUCUCUCUUGCCCAUCCUGUUUUAUCCCCAUAAUGUUUCUCUCCUCCAUGAAGCACUCUCCCACUCCCAAAACAAACGAACAAACAAAAAAAAACUGGGACAUGCACAUGAAUCUGUGUAGAAAGUAAACCUGAUUUCCUUUGGUAUUAUAGCAUAUACCAAUGCAAAAAUUAUUUGUGAAGAAGAAAACCUCUGAAAAUAGCAGUAACACUGCUUUUCUGGCAUUAUUUUUCUGUUAUUUUAAUCCAUGUAAAUCAUGUGAAAAUUUAUCACUGCAUAAUAAAACCCCACCAAUAACAUUUCUCGCAUUAUUAUUUGAUAGUCAUGCUAACCUAA